UAAGGAAUAUUGCUCAAUGGGAGAAAUCCUGAAGCAGCAACGCCGCGUGGAGGAUGAAGGGUCUAUGACUUGUAAACUCCUGUAAAGAAGGAAAAAAUUCCCAUUAGAUGGGAGAUGAUGGUACUUCUGGAGUAAGCCCCGGCUAACUACGUGCCAGCAGCCGCGGUAAUACGUAGGGGGCAAGCGUUGUCCGGAUUUACUGGGUGUAAAGGGUGCUCAGGCGGAUUUGUAAGUCAGAGGUGAAAUCUUACAGCUUAACUGUGAAACUGCCUUUGAUACUGCAAGCCUAGAGUAUGGAAGAGAGUGAUGGAAUAUCUGGUGUAGCAGUGAAAUGCGUAGAUAUCAGAUAGAACACCAAUGGCGAAGGCAGUCACUUGGUCCAUUACUGACGCUAAAGCAUGAAAGCGUGGGUAGCAAACA
rnacentral:rRNA from 1 species